UAACACGUAGGGGGCGAGCGUUGUCCGGAUUUAUUGGGCGUAAAGAGCUCGUAGGCGGUUUCGUAAGUCGGAUGUGAAAACUCCAGGCUCAACUUGGAGACGCCAUUCGAUACUGCGAUGACUUGAGUCCGGUAGGGGAGUGUGGAAUUCCUGGUGUAGCGGUGAAAUGCGCAGAUAUCAGGAGGAACACCGGCGGCGAAGGCGGCACUCUGGGCCGGUACUGACGCUGAGGAGCGAAAGCGUGGGUAGCAAACAGGAUUAGAUACCCUGGUAGUCCACGCCGUAAACGGUGGGCACUAGGUGUGGGAUUCACUCAACGGAUUCCGUGCCGCAGCUAACGCAUUAAGUGCCCCGCCUGGGGAGUACGGCCGCAAGGCUA
rnacentral:rRNA from 1 species